rnacentral:rRNA from 1 species
CCCUUAGAUGUUCUGGGCCGCACGCGUGCUACACUGAGUGGAUCAGCGGGUCAGGUUGCGCGAAAGCGUUUCCUAAUCUUUAAAUCCGCUCGUGAUGGGGAUUGACGGUUGCAAUUUUCUGUCAUGAACGAGGAAUACCUUGUAAGCGCGGGUCAUCAUCCCGCGCUGAAUACGUCCCUGCCCUUUGUACACACCGCCCGUCGCACCUACCGAUUGAAUGAUUCGGUGAAGAUUCCGGACCGUGUUGUCACCGCUUCACGGCGGUUUUGACGUGGGAAGUUAUCUAAACCUCAUCAUUUAGAGGAAGGUGAAGUCGUAACA